AGUGAACGCUGGCGGCGUGCUUAACACAUGCAAGUCGAACGAGAACGAAUUAUAGCUUGCUAUAAUUGUCAGCUAAGUGGCGCACGGGUGAGUAAUGUAUAGGUAAUAUGCCUCUUACUAAGGGAUAACAAAUGGAAACGUUUGCUAAUACCUUAUACUCCUUAUUAACAUAAGUUAAUAAGGGAAAGAUUUAUUGGUAAGAGAUUAGCCUGUAUUGUAUCAGUUAGUUGGUGGGGUAAUGGCUUACCAAGACUAUGACACAUAACUGGUUUGAGAGGAUGGUCGGUCACACUGGAACUGCGAGACGGUCCAGACUCCGACGGGAGGCAGCAGUGGGGAAUAUUGCACAAUGGACGAAAGUCUGAUGCAGCAACGCCGCGUGGAGGAUGACACAUUUCGGUGCGUAAACUCCUUUUAUAUGAGAAGAUAAUGACGGUAUUAUAUGAAUAAGCACCGGCUAACUCCGUGCCAGCCGCCGCCGUAA
rnacentral:rRNA from 1 species